rnacentral:misc_RNA from 1 species
AACGCACCUUGCGCUCCUUGGCAUUCCGAGGAGCAUGCCUGUUUGAGUGUCAUGAAUUCAUCAACCCCGAAGGGAUUUUGUGUCCCUCUCGGUGGCUUGGACUUGGGGGAUUCUCUGCUGGCCUUCAUCGGUCGGCUCCCCUUGAAUGCAUUAGCUUGGACUUGUCCCAGCGGACGUCAUAGCGUGAUAACUAUCUACGCUUUGAGCCGUGUGUUGGUACCUCGUCGGUCUGGCUUCUUAAUCGUCUUCGGACAAAGCACCAUUCAUUUUGACCUCAAAUCAGGUAGGACUACCCGCUGAACUUAA